rnacentral:siRNA from 1 species
UACCUCUAUUUAUCUUC